GUUUACUUCGCCUCCACUUCUGUUCCUCCUCGCCCUGGUGCUGCUCCAGGUCACAUACUCUUCCCGAGCCGGCUUCAGCCUCUCCGCGCAGAAGUCUCCCGGAGUCAUGGCCUAGUACUCUUAUGUGAAGUCUACCAAGCUUGUGCUCAGGGGAACCGAGGUGAAGAGCUGGGUCCUGCAGCUCCGGCGGGAGCCUCCUCAGUUCUUUUCGGAUGCACUCCACCCCCGCGAAUCCGGUGGAAGCCGUGAUGCGGAGAGCCGGCUUCGUGGCCUCCCAGGCUUCUUUUGCUCUGACCCUGUCUGGGCUGGACGGAGGCCGGACCGCGGUUCCUGGCGCCUGUGCAGAGAGGGGCAGCCUCCUGCGCGGACGACCCUGGAAACAGGAUAGACGGGCGGGUGACCCGUGGCCCCGUACUCACGAGUUUGGGUCCCCUGAGGCAUCUCUCCAGGCCUCUGCCUGGUGGGUCUGCCUUAGUCUGAUCUUGUAGUUCAUUAUAAUAACUUCCUUUAUUAGGGAUUAUUCUUUUCUCCAUUGUCUCUUCCUGGAAAAAUUAUUGAUUAAUUUUUUUCUAAGCUAAUAUGUAGAGUGAAACCAGGAUGAAUCACACAGUGGUUGAGGUGUAUAUGGACUUUGAUAGGGAUAUGGGCUGGAACCUGCACUCUGUCAUUUACUAAUUUUGUAAUUUGUGGCAAAUUGGUUAAUAUGUCUGAACUUCCAUUUACUCAUUAAGAGAUCAAGUAUCUUUGAACCUCCGUUUACACAUUUAUACUUUCAGACCAUUUUUUAUACCUUUAGAAGACUGUGAGGAUUAAAUGAGAGAACAUACAUGCAGUAAAUAAAUUGAGCCAAAUGUGAGGAGGAGGUUGUAGUGGUAAUUUAUUAGCUCUUUAGGAGAAAAAUACCUGUGCAUUCAUAUCCCCGCUUCUUUUUUAACUGGCAGAUUUGCCUGAGGUUAACUGUACAUACAAAUAUUGAGCAUUUCCUCCUGGCCUCCGUGAUAAACAGAAGUUUUGAUAUUGUUAGGCGAGAUGGAAAGAAAGUAUCAAGGAGUGAGCUGAAGCCACUGCCCUUGAGAACCCUCUCGAGGAGUCUGGCCUCAUGAAGAUGCCAGAAUAAAUGGCAGUAAGAAGAAAGAGAGCAAAGAUAAGAAGAGAAAAAGAGAAGAAGAUGAAGAAACCCAGCUUGAUAUGUUGGAACGCAGCUCCUCACCAGCAAUGAAACAAAGCUGGACGGAGAAUGACUUUGACGAGCUGAGAGAAGAAGGCUUCAGAUGAUCAAAUUACUCUGAGCUACGGGAGGACAUUCAAACCAAAGGCAAAGAAGUUGAAAACUUUGAAAAAAAUAUAUGUACAUUUCUUAACGUGGAAUCUGGUGAACAGUAACAAACUUUGGUGAAAUUUCAGGAACCAUAGCCAUUGAAAUGGAUGAGGGAACCUAUAUACAUGCACUCGACAAUGGUCUUUUUACCCUGGGAGCUCCACACAAAGAAGAAUCGCCCUGAAACCUGGCUAUGGAAAAUAUCUUAGUAUAAAUUCAGAUGAACUUGUUGUUGGCGUUCAGAUGCAAUUGGACCAAGAGAACAAUGGGAAGCAGUCUUUCAAAAUAUUAGAUCCUGUGCUGAAAGAGAAACCAAGAAAAAAGAUGACAUUCCAGAAGAAGACAAAGGAAAUGUAAAACAAUGUGAAAUCAAUUAUGUACGGAGUCUCGCUCUGUCCCCCAGACUGGAGUGCAGUGCCAUGAUCUCAGCUCAUCGCAACCUCCACCUCCCAGGUUCAUGUGAUUCUCCUGCCUCAGCCUCCCGAGUAGCUGGGACUACAGGCACACGCCACUACGCUCGGCUAAUUUUUGUAUCUUUAGUAGAGACGGGGUUUCACCAUGUUGGCCAGGCUGUUCUCGAACUCCUGACCUCGAGUGAUCUGCCUGCCUUGGCCUCCCAAAGUGCUGGGAUUGCAGGCAUGAGCCACUGUGCCUGGCCUACAAUUAGACUUUUUUAAUAAGUGAAAAAGAAAUUAACAGUAUUUAUAAAUUUAAUAGUAAAUAUGUAUAAUCAGAGUUUGAGGUUUUUUCAAUGAAGGCAUUUUCUUUGCAUAAAGAAAUUUCAGAGCUUCCAAGACCACAAACUUAAAAUAAGUAAAGAAGCAGUAAAAUUCUUAAAAAGACACAGAAAGAUGGAUUUUUGCAUGAGACGCUUCUGGACAGGAGAUCCCCGGGCGAAUCUUGUGGCUGUCAAAGGAGGAGAAGCACUGCCGAAAAGGUGAACUAAUUUAUCGAGGUAGGCUGGCUAUUUAUUUAUUUAUCUUGUUGAUGGGAAGAUUCAAAUUGACAUACACAAUCACCCCCAUAAAGAUUUCAGGUAAAAAACAAACAAAGGUUUAGAUAUCAGAUGUGUUUUACAAUUACCACACCACUGUUUACUACAGCAUCCAGUAGCACAUUUCCAGUAGACUUAGGUGAAAAUUUCUAUCUCAUGAGCCUUCUGUCAGUACUUUUAAACUUGGAUACUCAAUAAAUAGUGGCCAAAUUGAAUCUCUUACAGGCAUCUCACUCAAACUGCAGUCAUACUUUCCAAUAGGCCCCAUAAAAAUCCUUGUUCUGGAGCAAUCUAAUAUAUUUAUCCACCUCUUUAGACACUUAGGUAAGUAUAAUAAUACAAGUUUUUUUUGUGUGUGUGUAUUGUGUACCUUGUGGCCUCUUGCCCAGUUUCUGCAACAACUGAAGCUGAGGCAAGUUUAAUGUAAAUAAUGUCCAGCAAUGUUAGAAAUGUUGACUUUUAUGUGUCCAUCAGGAAAAAAGGAUGAAUAUUGUAGAGGAAAUUUUCAUUCUGGAAAAAAUGCAUACUGUUUGAAUAUUACUUUCAUGCUUUCCACAGAUAUUAUACACAGAUAUUAUAUUCCAAGGGUUAUGUUUCAAAGUCAUCAAAAAUAGAAAAUACCUUUUAUAUUUCUAGCUGAAAAUAAUAACAGUAAUUAGCCUACCUUUGGGGAAAUGUGAUAAAAAUACUAAUGACCAUCACAACUGAUUAAAAGCAUAAAAUGUGCAAUGAUUUAAACUACAUGUUCUUUAUAUGAAUUAUAUGCAUAGAAAUAUAGACACAUUUGAUAAAUUAUAUUUAAAGUCUGAGUGCUUUGGUAAAUGAUUCAGUCAUCUGUAGAUUGAAGGGAUUACUUUUAUCUGCCUUCAUAGUGAGAAUUAGAUUUCUAUUCUUUAUAAAGCAGGGAAUAUAGAUUGUGCAUGGAGUAAAAGCAUUCAAUCAUUAUUAAUAAUGAUGGUAGCGGCGCUGCAGAGGAGAAAGCCUGUCAGAGUAACGUAUUCAGUUUUACAUCAUAAUCAGAGUGUGUCGAUCUCUGCUGAAGGCAGAAUUAAAAAGCCCUUCAACAUUUUUUAAAUAAUAGAUGAAAAACAUCUCAUAGUCACUUUUAAAAUUUGAAUUGACGAUUCCACAUGACAGGAAAAGGACCAAGAACAUCUUAAAGAAAUACUUCACUAUGGAAGUGAUGUUUUAAGUGCAAUUUCAUCAAGGAGAAGUUUUUCCAGAAAGUCUUUUGACCUCAGGAAGAAUCUCAUUAGUUUACUCUGGUAAAUAGUUUCUAGUAAAAUGAGAAAGAGUUGACUUUUUAAAAACAAUAAAAAAUUUACACGGUUUAAUCUAAUGUUGUGAUUUCGAAAGUGCUGCUUUUGCCCUCAUAGUUAUGCAUGUGUAUUUAUACGCAUUUUCUCGGCUCACUCAAACGCCAAUAAAAUACUUUACUAUCCAGGCUCCUUAAAAGCCAAAUUAAUUUCUAAAAGUGAGGAGUGUAUAUAUUCUGUGAGGUGUGUGCAGGUGUAUGCAUGAUAUGUGUGUGUGGUCUGUGUGUGUAGUAGGUACAUGGGGUAUGUAUAUGUGUGUGUGGAGUGUAUUGUGGGUGUUAUGUGUUUAUACUGCGUGUAGUAUGUGGGUGGUGCAUGGUGUGUAUAUGUGCUGUGUUUGUGGUGUAUGUGUGUUUGGUGUGUAUGUGUACUAUGUGUGGUGUGUGCAUGUGAUAUGUGUGUGGUGUAUGUGAUGUGUGUGUUUUGUGUGUGUAUGGUGCUGUGUGUGUGCGGUGUGUGUAGUGUUUGAUGUGUGCUUGAUGUGUUUGUAGAAUGUGUGUGUGGUGUGGUGUAUGUAUGUGAGGUAUGUGUUUGCUCUAUGUGUGUGGCACUGUAUGUACGUGUGCAGUGUGUGGGGAGUAUGUGUGGUGUGUGUGGUGUGUGGGGAGUAUGUAUGGGGUGUGUGAUGUGUGUGGUGCUGUAUGUGUGUGGUGUAAGUGUAGUAGAUUCAUGUGUGUGGUGUGGGGGUGUGUGCACGUGUGCACAUACUGUGUGGUGUGUGUGAUGUCUGUGGGGGGUGUGUGUGCACAUGGUGUGUACACAGUGUGUGGUGUCAGAGGUGUGCAUGUGUGCACAUGGUGUGUGUACAGUGUGUGGGGUGUGUGCAUGUAUACAUGGUGUGGGUGCAGUGUGGUGUCUGUGUGUGGUGUCUGGGGUGUGUGUGCAAGUGCACAUGGUGUGUGUGCAUGGUGUGUGCAUGUAUACAUGGUGUGGUGUGUGCAGUGUGUGGUGUCUGUGCAGGGUGUGUGUGCAUGUGUACAUGGUGUGUGUGCAGUGUGUGUGUAUACAUGGUGUGCUGUGUGCAGUGUGUGUGGUGUCUGGGUGGUGUCUGUGGGGUGUGUGCAUGUGUACAUGGUGUGUGUGCAGUGUGUGGUGUGUGUGUACAUGUGCACAUGGUGUGUGUGCAGUGUUGGGGGGGUGUGCAGUGCGUGUGGUGUCUUGGUUGUGUGUGCAGUGUGGUGUCUGAGGGGUGUGUGUGUGCACGUGCAUGGUGUGUGGUGUGUGUGCAUGUGUACAUGGUGUGUGUGCCGUGUGUGUGGCUUCUGCAUGUGGAGUGUGCAUGUGCACAUGACGUGGUGUGUGCAAUGUGGUGUGUAUGUGGGUGUGUGCGUGUGCACAUGGCGUGUGUGUAGUGUGGUGUCUGCUGUGUGCAGUGUGUGGUGUCUGGGGUGUGCAUGUGCACAUGGCGUGUGUGGUGUGUGUGGUGUAUGGGGUGUGUGUGUGUACACGGUGUGUGUGUGCAGUGUGUGUGGUGUCUGGGGUGCAUGUGUGCACAUGGAGUGGUGUGUGUAGUGUGUGUGAUGUCUGGGGUGUGCAUAUGCACAUGGUGUGUGUGCAGUGUGUGUGGUGUCUGUGUGGGGUGUGUGCAUGCGCACAUGGUGUGUGUACUGUGUGUGGUGUAUGUGUGUGGGGUGUGUGUGUGCACAUGGUGUGUGUGCAGUGUGUUUGUGUGCAGUGUGUGCAGGUGCAUAUGGUGUGUGUGCAGUGUGUGUGGUGUCUGUGGUGUGUGUGUGCACAUGGUGUGUAUGCAGUGUGUGUGGUGUGUGUGGGGUGUGUGCACAUAGUGUGUGUGCAGUGUGUGUGGUGUCUAUGUGUGGUGUGUGUGGUGUCUGUAUGGGGCCUGUGCAUGUGCACAUGGUGUGCGUACUGUGUGUGGUGUAUGUGUGUGGGGUGUGUGUGUGCACAUGGUGUGUGUGCAGUGUGUUUGUGUGCAGUGUGUGCAUGUGCAUAUGGUGUGUGUGCAGUGUGUGUGGUGUCUGUGUGUGUGUGCACAUGGUGUGUAUGCAGUGUGUGUGGUGUGUGUGGGGUGUGUGCACAUAGUGUGUGUGCAGUGUGUGUGGUGUCUAUAUGUGGCGUGUGUGCAGUGUGUGUGGUGUCUGUAUGGGGUGUAUGCAUGUGCACAUGGUGUGUGUGCAGUAGGUAUGUUUGUGGGGUGUAGGCAGUGGGUGUGAGGGGUGUGUGUGCAUGUGCACAUGGUGUGUGUGCUGUUUGUGUGGUGUCUGUGUGUGGGGUGUGUGUGCAUGUGCACACGGUGUGGUGUGUGCAGUGUGUGUGUUAUGAGUGACUGCUUCUCUUAGCAUGUGGACAUCAGUCUUCCAGACCAGCUUUCUCCACGUGUCUGGGAACAUAAGAAACAAGUUUCUGCAAUAAUUGUUACACAGCUUUUCCAGAGAGGGACCAAAUCUCUGUCGUGAGUGGGUAUCUGCAUCAUUUCGCGGGAGGGAAUGUGACGUCCUGGCUUGGCUCACACCCUCUGUGGGUUUAGGCACAGGUUCCUGCUGGAUCCCUCACUGUGGCCAGAGAGGGAGGGCUCUGCUUCACCACAGGGCACCAGAAGAGGACUGGUGCGCGGGAAGACCAGAGAAGUGCAGGUUCACAGCUAAACGGAGCAGAGAGUAAAGACUUCUCAUAUGUCCCUUUCCCCACACACAGCCUCCGCACUACAGCUUCCUGCCUCACAGGAGCACACCUGUGACAACCAGGAACCUACCUUGAUCCUUCAUUAUCACUCAAAGAUUACAGUGCACAUUCACGUUUACUCUUCACGUUGUACGUUCUGAGUCUUGACAAAAGUAUAAUGGCAACAGGAUGUUAUUCACUGCUAACAGGAGAUGAACUAUCAAGCCACAAAAAAAUACAUGGAGGAAACUUAAAUGCAUAUUGCUAAAAGAAGAAGCCAAUCCGAAAAGUCUACGUACUGUUCGAUUCCAAUUAUAUGACGUUCUGGAAACGGUGAAACUAUGGGAUCAGUAGAAAGAUCAGUGGUUGCCAUGGACCAAGGGGAAGGAAGAGAUGGAUACACAGAGCACAGAGAAUCUUCACGGCAGUAAAACCAUUCUGUAUGAUACUAUAAUGGUAGAUAUAUACAUUUGUAAAAAUCUAUCGUAACUUUUAAUCUUUUAAAUUACAUUUUUUUUUUUGAUGGAGUCUUGCUCUGUCGCAAGGCAGGAGUGCAGUGGCACGAUCUCGGCUUACUGCAACCUCCGCCUCCCGGGUUCAAGCGAGUUUCCUGCCUCGGCCUCCCGAGUAGCUGGGACUACAGGUGCCCGCCACUGCGCCUGGCUAAUUUUUGUAUUUUUAGUAGAGACUGCGUUCACCAUCUUGGCCAGGCUGGUCUUGAACUCCUGACCUUGUGAUUCACCUGCCUUGGCCUCCCAAAGUGCUGGGAUUACAGGUG